rnacentral:rRNA from 2 species
AAUUUUGAACGAGUGGCGGACGGGUGAGUAACACGUGGGUAACCUGCCCUUAAGUGGGGGAUAACAUUUGGAAACAGAUGCUAAUACCGCAUAAAUCCAAGAACCGCAUGGUUCUUGGCUGAAAGAUGGCGUAAGCUAUCGCUUUUGGAUGGACCCGCGGCGUAUUAGCUAGUUGGUGAGGUAACGGCUCACCAAGGCAAUGAUACGUAGCCGAACUGAGAGGUUGAUCGGCCACAUUGGGACUGAGACACGGCCCAAACUCCUACGGGAGGCAGCAGUAGGGAAUCUUCCACAAUGGACGCAAGUCUGAUGGAGCAACGCCGCGUGAGUGAAGAAGGCUUUCGGGUCGUAAAACUCUGUUGUUGGAGAAGAAUGGUCGGCAGAGUAACUGUUGUCGGCGUGACGGUAUCCAACCAGAAAGCCACGGCUAACUACGUGCCAGCAGCCGCGGUAAUACGUAUGUGGCAAGCGUUAUCCGGAUUUAUUGGGCGUAAAGCGAGCGCAGGCAGUUUUUU